AAGUACAUUACCCCUUCUUGAAAAGUUCCAGUUAAGAUUUGGACGUGUCACGGGAGGAAAAUGGGAAACCGUUGAAGGACGGUUCUUGAGUCUCAAAUAUUUGUCUUAAGGACUUUGACUGGUGGGUGAUGGAGAGCUCCCACUUCCCAUGUCUCGACCACCUUCUUCUCGAUGGACUAUCUUUGAAGGAGAUCCCUGCAGAACUUGGUGAUAUUCCGACACUGAAAUCCUUGCACUUGGAGUUAUGGUAGAGGAACAAGAGGAAUUACAAGGAGAACUAUCCUUUAUAGUCCAAGUUUUGGUCGGUGAUCAGGAUGCUGAGCUGCAGAGCUUGGAAAAUCCCUACUUCAAAGUUUUUCUUCCACGGUGACUUAAGCCAUCCAGAGUGUAGUAAUGGUGAGGAUUACAAAGAUAUGGCGAGGUGAUGUUUCUCCUAAGGAAAUGUGCAUAUGAAGAGUUUCUUAACUCUCACCCCUUUGAUAUGUCCAGUUGCACAACUUUACCUGUAUGUUUUACUAUGAUUCUGAUUUUGAUGCUCUUCUUUCAGUUCUUGGGUGAUAUCUUGCUGGAUUAUUCUAAUUUUGCUGUAAUGAUACGAUAUGUUAGCUCAAAUAUGACCAAUGUUUUGGAUUAAGGCAUGGUGAUGGACACCAAACCAUUUGUUUCAGACCAAGUUGAUGAUACAGACCCUGUAGAAAGGGUUAUAAAAAUUGGUUCUAUUUUUCCAUCAACGUUGGUGCCUUGAUAUCAAGUACUAGUUUGUUUGUGUGAAUUCAAGAUAAUUCUGAGGGAUCUUGGUAAGAAGGAAGAUGCAUAGCCGUCCUUUGUGCUGGAUCCACCAUUCUUUCCAAUCGCUGUAGCCACGGUAUGAACACAUGUGGAGAGGUUCGCAUCAAUGGAAUUGUGGUAGCUUCAUAAGAUAAAGCUGUGGGAGCACGUGCAUUGGAGAUGGGGAAAAAUAAAUUUCCAGCCAUUUCCAAAGGCUAGUUUUUGAUGAUUUACACGAGACCUUGAAGUUAAAAUUGAAAGAACAGAGUGUGUUUAUGAUGAGCAUUACGAAGAAAUGGCAAGGUGAUGUUUCACCAAAGGAAAUGAGAAACAUCGAAUCAAAAAGAUUAGUUUGCCUCCAGCGAUGCAAAAGGUGGAUCAAUCAAAUAGUGUAGCGAUAUGUUUAAGAAAGAAAUAACAAUUCCCCUUAAUUAGUAGAUUUAUCAGGAGAUUUAACAACAUUUUUAGUAACUACAAUCACGACUUCCAUUCCUGU